rnacentral:rRNA from 1 species
UGGGGAAUAUUGGACAAUGGGCGCAAGCCUGAUCCAGCCAUGCCGCGUGAGUGAAGAAGGCCCUAGGGUUGUAAAGCUCUUUCAGUCGUGAAGAUGGUGACGGUAGCGACAGAAGAAGCCCCGGCUAACUCCGUGCCAGCAGCCGCGGUAAUACGGAGGGGGCUAGCGUUGUUCGGAUUUACUGGGCGUAAAGCGCGCGUAGGCGGGCUGGUCAGUCAGGGGUGAAAGGCCCGGGCUCAACCCGGGAACGGCCUUUGAUACUGCCGGCCUUUGAGUCCGGGAGAGGUGAGCGGAAUUCCAAGUGUAGAGGUGAAAUUCGUAGAUAUUUGGAAGAACACCGGUGGCGAAGGCGGCUCACUGGACCGGGACUGACGCUGAUGCGCGAAAGCGUGGGGAGCGAACAGGAUUAGAUACCCCCGUAGUCC